AUGCGCCAGGUACCGCCGGAGCCGCAGCCGGAGAAGAAGAAGAAGCGGGCGUACCGGUUCCGGCCGGGCACGGUGGCGCUGCGGGAGGUCAGGAAGUACCAGAAGUCCACCGGGCCGCUCAUCCCCUUCGCGCCCUUCGUCCGCCUGGUUAAGGAGAUCACCAACGACCUCACGAAGGGCGAGCUGAACCACUGGACUCCUCAGGCGCUAUUCGCGCUGCAAGAGGCUGCAGAGUAUCACAUAGUCGAUGUAUUUGAAAAGGCAAAUCUAUGUGCCAUCCAUGCUAAGCGUGUUACCAUCAUGCAAAAGGACAUACAGCUCGCGAGGCGUAUCGGGGGGAGAAGGCUUUGGUGA
rnacentral:rRNA from 1 species